ACUCCUACGGGAGGCAGCAGUGGGGAAUAUUGCACAAUGGGCGAAAGCCUGAUGCAGCGACGCCGCGUGAGGGACGACGGCCUCGGUUGUAACCUCUUUCUAGUAGGGAACAAGGCAUCAUUUUGUUGGUGUUGAGGGUACUUGCAGAAGAAGCACCGGCUAACUACGUGCCAGCAGCCGCGGUAAUACGUAGGGUGCAAGCGUUAUCCGGAAUUAUUGGGCGUAAAGAGCUCGUAGGCGGUUUGUCGCGUCUGUCGUGAAAGUCCGGGGCUCAACUCCGGAUCUGCGGUGGGUACGGGCAGGACUAGAGUGAUGUAGGGGAGACUGGAAUUCCUGGUGUAGCGGUGGAAUGCGCAGAUAUCAGGAGGAACACCGAUGGCGAAGGCAGGUCUCUGGGCAUUAACUGACGCUGAGGAGCGAAAGCAUGGGGAGCGGAACAGGAUUAGAUACCCUGGUAGGAUAGCG
rnacentral:rRNA from 1 species